rnacentral:rRNA from 1 species
AACGAACGCUGGCGGCAGGCUUAACACAUGCAAGUCGAACGCACUCUUCGGAGUGAGUGGCAGACGGGUGAGUAACACGUGGGAACCUACCCAAAGGUACGGAAUAACACAGGGAAACUUGUGCUAAUACCGUAUGUGCCCUUCGGGGGAAAGAUUUAUCGCCUUUGGAUGGGCCCGCGUCGGAUUAGCUAGUUGGUGGGGUAAUGGCCUACCAAGGCGACGAUCCGUAGCUGGUCUGAGAGGAUGAUCAGCCACACUGGGACUGAGACACGGCCCAGACUCCUACGGGAGGCAGCAGUGGGGGAUAUUGGACAAUGGGCGCAAGCCUGAUCCAGCCAUGCCGCGUGAGUGAUGAAGGCCUUAGGGUUGUAAAGCUCUUUCAGCUGGGAAGAUAAUGACGGUACCAGCAGAAGAAGCCCCGGCUAACUUCGUGCCAGCAGCCGCCGUAACAC